CACACACACGCAGCGUGUAUAUGUAUGUGUGUGUAUAUAUAUAUAUAUAUAUAUAUAUAUAUGCAUAUAUAUAUAUAUAUAUACACACACACAUACAUAUACACGCUGCGUGUGUUUG